rnacentral:lncRNA from 1 species
AAAAAAAAAAAACCACCAAAGACACCCCUAUAAUGACACGCCUUUCAUGUGUUGAUAGUGAUAAUUUGUCUCAUACUAUAUACAAUCUUCUUCUUAAUUCCGAAGUGUGUAUACAAAGUCAAGGAUAAUUUCCACCUUCAAUUUUUAUUUCCAAUGAAGAAUAAUGGAAUGUUUCAUUUUCUGCUGAAGUUUCGUCUUCGGCUGCCCAAUGUCAACGUGGAAAUUAAACUUCUCUGUCGUCCACCUAAUUCCAUGCACAUACGAUGAUCGGAUAGUACCUUUAAAAACACUCUUUCCAUAUAUAAGAUGCAGCGCAAGCUAGCAGCAAAACCCCAACGUCGCCUAGACGGGAAGUCGAGUCGCCACCGAGAACAAGCAGUACGUGCGCCAGGAUGGAUCUGGUGGUACUCAUGAAUUACCGGAUAAUGUUGGUCGAGUAAUUCUUCCUUCGUUAUCAAACUUUUAUCAAGACUUGACCCCAGCUUCGUCGUGAACUUGAAGCUACUAAAUCACCGAUUCUAUUUUUAGAUAUUUUCAUUAGAUAAUAUUUACCUUCGAUUCAUGGGGGCUCCUUCCUUGGUCAAUGUUCUUUAAUUUCUGCCAUGUUUUCAUUGUAUUGUUGGUUUCUUGUGAAUUUUGUAUUGGUUUUUGAAUGAAAUAAUGUGAAGUGUAAUAGUAUGUAAUGAAGUUUACUAAUGAAUUUACGUAAUGUACGUACUCAACAUUUAUUUACAGUUAUUUACAUUACUUGAAGUAAGGAAUACCUAUACAUGAACAUCAAUCAACGUUUCCUUAACCACGGGAUUCCUAUAUAUAUAUUAGUUCAGUAUUAUUCUAUGUUUUACACGUCUUGGUGUUGUUUUGGAACCAACAACAUAAUUACUUGCCUGCAAACACGAUUGUAACAUGUCCAGGUCACUUUAUUAGCUCAUUGCCCACAAAACU